rnacentral:misc_RNA from 1 species
GAAAUGCGAUAAUUAAUGUGAAUUGCAGAAUUCAGUGAAUCAUCGAGUCUUUGAACGCACAUUGCGCCUCCUGGUAUUCCGGGGGGCAUGCCUGUCCGAGCGUCAUUGCUGCCCUCAAGCACGGCUUGUGUGUUGGGCUUCCGUCCCUGGCAACGGGGACGGGCCCAAAAGGCAGUGGCGGCACCAUGUCUGGUCCUCGAGCGUAUGGGGCUUUGUCACCCGCUCCCGUAGGUCCAGCUGGCAGCUAGCCUCGCAACCAAUCUUUUUAACCAGGUUGACCUCGGAUCAGGUAGGGAUACCCGCUGAACUUAAGC